rnacentral:rRNA from 1 species
GACGAACGCUGGCGGCGUGCUUAACACAUGCAAGUCGAACGGAAAGGCCCUGCUUUUGUGGGGUGCUCGAGUGGCGAACGGGUGAGUAACACGUGAGUAACCUGCCCUUGACUUUGGGAUAACUUCAGGAAACUGGGGCUAAUACCGGAUAGGAGCUCCUGCUGCAUGGUGGGGGUUGGAAAGUUUCGGCGGUUGGGGAUGGACUCGCGGCUUAUCAGCUUGUUGGUGGGGUGGUGGCUUACCAAGGCUUUGACGGGUAGCCGGCCUGAGAGGGUGACCGGCCACAUUGGGACUGAGAUAAGGUCCAGACUCCUACGGGAGGCAGCAGUGGGGAAUAUUGCACAAUGGGCGGAAGCCUGAUGCAGCAACGCCGCGUGCGGGAUGACGGCCUUCGGGUUGUAAACCGCUUUCGCCUGUGACAAAGCGUGAGUGACGGUAAUGGGUAAAGAAGCACCGGCUAACUACGUG